rnacentral:rRNA from 1 species
UGGGGAAUAUUGCACAAUGGAGGGAACUCUGAUGCAGCGACGCCGCGUGAACGAAGAAGGCUUUCGAGUCGUAAAGUUCUUUUAUAUGGGAAGAUAAUGACGGUACCAUAAGAAAAAGCCCCGACUAACUACGUGCCAGCAGCCGCGGUAAUACGUAGGGGGCUAGCGUUGUCCGGAAUCACUGGGCGUAAAGGGUUCGCAGGCGGAAAUGCAAGUCAGGUGUAAAAGGCAGUAGCUUAACUACUGUAAGCAUUUGAAACUGCAUAUCUUGAGAAGAGUAGAGGGAAGUGGAAUUUUUAGUGUAGCGGGGAAAUGCGUAGAUAUUAAAAAGAAUACCGGUGGCGAAGGCGACUUACUGGGCUCAUUCUGACGCUGAGGAACGAAAGCGUGGGUAGCAAACAGG